GCCCCCGUACCCGCAGGAGUCCUCUUGGUCGGCAUUCAUUGAGAGAGAGUACAAAAGGGAGGCCAGCCUUCAACGACAGCUUUGUAAAGCUGGGAGAACUCUGAUACAUUGCCAAAGAGGUUACACCUGUGUUGGCGCCGGCAGCAUCUGCAGACGUUGAGUCCAGAGGCCGGGAGACCAAGCUAUUGCAUAUGGAGAAGGCAACUUAAGUGACUACAUGCCGAUAGACGGACUGUAAACCAGCCUUCACACUCCCUCACAUCCUGUCCCCCCCCAUCCCUCUUUCCUCUGGAAUUGGCCACUAGCUGCCCGAUGGCCAGAUGGCGAAGAGACAGAUCCGUCAUUGUUGGUGAGAAGCUUUACGUCAAGUGCCCAUCUCAGUCUGGCGUGCCUAGCCUCAGGGUCAGCCCAUACCAGCCUGUGUCAGUCCUCGUGGGCACCUCAGCUGUUCUGCCUUCAUCAUGGCCUACCUGCAGAUGCUUCUCAUUUGUAGGUUAAUUUAUCUGAUUGGGGUCAGCGUCGGUGCAUUGGUGUGUGAAGGAAGAGACCCCAAUCAGAGCACAACUGGUUAGGAUGGAUGCUUUGUGGGAGCAAUGAGCGUGUAAUAGCCUCACAAAGACAGAGAUAGGGACAUGCAAUUGAGAAAGUGUGCUUGUAUGGGGGUGUGUUCUGUUUUUCCUUACUGUGAA